rnacentral:rRNA from 1 species
CUACGGGCUGCUGCAGUGAGGAAUUUUGCGCAAUGGGGGAAACCCUGACGCAGCAACGCCGCGUGAGUGAAGAAGGCCUUUGGGUCGUAAAGCUCUGUCAACAGGGAAGAAGUUACAGGUGUUUAAUAGAUAUCUGUAUUGACGGUACCUGUGGAGGAAGCGCCGGCUAACUCCGUGCCAGCAGCCGCGGUAACACGGGGGGCGCAAGCGUUAUUCGGAAUUAUUGGGCGUAAAGGGCGCGCAGGCGGUCUUGUCCGUCAGGUGUGAAAGCUCGGGGCUCAACCCCGGAAGUGCACUUGAACAGAAAGACUUGAAUACGGGAGAGGAAAGCGGAAUUCCUGGUGUAGAGGUGAAAUUCGUAGAUAUCAGGAGGAACACCGAUGGCGAAGGCAGCUUUCUGGACCGAUAUUGACGCUGAGGCGCGAAGGCGUGGGGAGCGAACGGGAUUAGAUACCCUCGUAGUC